rnacentral:rRNA from 1 species
CCUACGGGUGGCCGCAGUGGGGGAUAUUGCACAAUGGGGGGAACCCUGAUGCAGCGACGCCGCGUGGGUGAAGAAGCGCCUCGGCGCGUAAAGCCCUGUCAGCAGGGAAGAAAAUGACGGUACCUGAAGAAGAAGCCCCGGCUAACUACGUGCCAGCAGCCGCGGUAAUACGUAGGGGGCAAGCGUUAUCCGGAUUUACUGGGUGUAAAGGGGGCGCAGACGGCGAUGCAAGCCAGGAGUGAAAGCCCGGGGCCCAACCCCGGGACUGCUCUUGGAACUGCGUGGCUGGAGUGCAGGAGGGGCAGGCGGAAUUCCUGGUGUAGCGGUGAAAUGCGUAGAUAUCAGGAGGAACACCGGUGGCGAAGGCGACUAUCUGGCUGUACAUUGACGCUGAGGCUCGAAAGCAUGGGGAUCAAACAGGAUUAGAUACCCCUGUAGUC